rnacentral:lncRNA from 1 species
UCAAGCAUUGCCAAUACAAAACAUCAUCAGAAACUUAAACAGGAAAACCGGAGGAGGGGAGGAAGGGAAAAAACUACUUAAGUUUCUCAGUUCUCACCACAGGUGCAACCUGAGGAAGCCUAUUCUGUAAAUCACUAGCUUCAUAGUUGCCGUUGAAAUGGCUGUCCUCAUUUCUCAUACCACUGACAAGCCCCUGCCGAACACCAAAAAAGGCAAUAAACCACGAUGCCAUCGUGUUCAUAUUAAUUAGGAUAAAGGAAAAUUAUAUCAUACCAUACUGGUAGUAGAGGUAAAUGAUGAGAACUGCAUAUUAUCGUCCUGAUGAAACAAAAUAGCACAUGUUAGGAUAAGAGUAACCCAUAAACAUUUUCUAAACAUGGUAAAAGAAUUGGUUCUUCAUAAGCCUUGGGAAAUUAAUAUGAUGCUUAUGUACUGCCAUAUAGCUCCAGAAUCCAGUAUAGUUAAACAAUGAACUACGAAAUGACGGAAUUAGGGAGAGGCUGCAAUAUGAACUACUGACCCAUAAUCCAUUCUUAUAUGCACAGUUUCUUCAUGCAUAAAACAACUAUACAUGCAAUAAACAAGACUAACUUUAGAUAGUUUAACAAUCAGUAAGAAAUAAAAAUAAAAAGAAUUAAAAAUGCACCCAGCUGGUCCAAGGCUGAAGAAAAGGCACACAACAUCAUUUAAUAGACAUUCACAAAAGCUAUCCCCAAACAGUAACAGA